ACAAUUUUGAACGAAAAUGUCGCCAAGAUUUUAAUGUUUAUGCAAAGAUCUAAUAAUGUAAUCUUAUUUAUGCACAGGAUUAUUUAUGCAGCAAAAAAUGAUCAAGACAGGGUGACAUUUUCCGUUUUGGAAGUUCUUUUACAAUUUUUAUGAUUUUUGAUAGAAAAAGUGGUUAUUUUAUGCACUAUUUGACCUUAUUCUGUUCCUUAAGGCCUCUUUAAUCUCCUGAAUAUGAGUGAUAUUAAUAAAACACACUCAGGCAUAUAAAGACGACCUACAAGAAGAGACCUUGGUCAUUAGGGAAUUCUUAUGUUUGUUCAUCAUGCUCAUUUACGAGAUUGGUUUUAUAUUAUCCGGUUAAAAAUUUUCUGCGACAAAUCAAUGGAUGUAUACAGUUCCAGGGCAUUUAGUAGGCAUUUAAGUAAAAAUUCCAACGUGUGCCAUUUUUAUAGUUCCUUAUUAUCAUAGAUAAAUUCAGAGCAUCUAUUUAUAUUUUGAUCCAGUUUAUGGCUUUUAGUCACUUCCUUUUCUUUUUGAUACAAUACCAUCUACUUAGAACUUUAUGUUGUUUUUGGUUUACUUUCAUUUCUUUAUAAUUUCUUGACUUUCAUAUAUUUUUGAUUGUGGAAAUAAUAUCAUCAUUUAUCAAUUCUUUCUCUAAGGCAUUUUAUUUCUUUUGUCUUUUUAGAUAAUAGUAAUUUUCAUAUCAUUUUCAUGACUUUUUCAAUUCGUCAUACCAUAUAGAGUAACGCUAAAUUUUAUUUUUCUUAAAUAUAAUUUAUUAUUUUUCUUUUAUAUUGAUUGGAUUUUUACGUCUCCUUUUUCAUUUGUAUUAUUGUUUAUUUUACUGCUGUUCUUCUAAGACUUCUAGGUCUUUCUAUUGCCUACAUAGAAUUGUAUAGCUUUGGAUUCAUUUUCUGAUUGAUUUUUUCUCAUACAUUUUCUAAUUCUCUUUAAAAUUGAGUUAUUGAUUGGGACAUUGUACUACUUUGGAACAAGGAUUUUUUUUGAACAGCUGCAAUUCAACCAACCUCUUCAAGAUGCCCCUUUAGCUUGCUAAAAUUCAAAAUUCAACAGUAGAAUGAGAAGAAAAUUGAUCAUUGAAGGGGUAGCUAAAUAUAAUCCAAUACUUUCCAGAAGGGCGACCAGAAGAUUUCUUUACCUCAACGUAGUCAUUAGCAUGUCCAUCAACACCUUGGAUUUUUUUUGUAAAAAAUAAUAUGUUAAUAAACAAUAAUUAA
rnacentral:lncRNA from 1 species